AACGCACAUUGCGCCCCUUGGUAUUCCAUGGGGCAUGCUUGUUCGAGCGUCAUUUGUACCCUCAAGCUUUGCUUGGUGUUGGGCGAUUGUCCUUUCCUCUGCGAUGGGACUCGCCUUAAAGUCAUUGGCAGCCAGUGUAUUGGUUUGAAGCGCAGCACAAUUUGCGGCUCGAACUAGUAGUCACUCGCGUCCAGUAAGCACAAUUAACACUUUUGACCUCGGAUCAAGUAGGGAUACCCGCUGAACUUAA
rnacentral:misc_RNA from 1 species